UACGUAGGGUGCGAGCGUUGUCCGGAUUUAUUGGGCGUAAAGGGCUCGUAGGCGGCGUGUCGCGUCGGGAGUGAAAGCCCGUUGCUUAACGGCGGGUUGGCUUUCGGUACGGGCAUGCUGGAGUGCGGCAGGGGAGACUGGAAUUCCGGGUGUAGCGGUGGAAUGCGUAGAGAUCCGGAAGAACACCGGUGGCGAAGGCGGUCUGCUGGGCAGUUGCUGACACUGAUGCGCGACAGCGUGGGGAGCAAACAGG
rnacentral:rRNA from 1 species